AAAUAUUACUCCCAAUUUUAUUCCAUUAAGGAGGAUGGAUCUAUCCGUCUCUAUAAAAAGACCUCUUUGGUCAUCAAUUUGCACAGAUACUUGAGGUAUUCAGCAGCUUUGCAUCGAAUCAAAAAUCGGCAGCAAGGUAAUUUCUUUUCUCUUUCUUUGUGAUUUUCAUUAAUUUUUUUUUUGAAUUAAAACAGAUUGCGAUGUACAAUAAUCGGUUUAAGGUUCGAGAGUUUAAAUUCACCUUCAUUACCUUAAUAUCGAACAAUUUUUCUUGAUGUACAAAAAUCAUCUUGAACCAAUAGCAAAUAAAAACACAUUUGAUUUUGAUAACAUUGUUCCCUCAUUUCCGUGGAAUUAAUUUUUUUUCUUAUCUGCGAUGACGAAAUUAAGAAAGAAAAGGAGUUGACUUUUCUAACAUAAAAUGCUGAUGUCACACCCUUUUUUCCUUAAAUUAGUAAUAAUGGAAUAGUGCCAUUCCAUGGCCGCCUCAAGAUUGCCGCACCCUUUAUCCCCUUUUUCAAAUAUCCUAUAAUUGCCAACAAAUAAUUGGCUUUCUGUUAUAUUUACCAGUGCUUUCCUUUUCAAUUUGGGGUAUAAUUGGUCAACUUUAAUCCUUUUUAAAUUUUCCAGCAACCUUACCACUAGCACAUGUGAGUUCAAAAUAAUAAUUCUUUUCCAUUAAAACCCAACCAUGUCAGUACACAUCAAUUUUCAAGUCCAAAUAGGCAUAGGAUGCUUCCACCGCCUCUACUGUAAUCAUUUUUUUUUGAAGGAAAAUAUUACUCCCAAUUUUAUUCCAUUAAGGAGGAUGGAUCUAUCCGUCUCUAUAAAAAGACCUCUUUGGUCAUCAAUUUGCACAGAUACUUGAGAACCAAAAUGGAUUACAAGAAAGAAUUUGACCAUCUCAUUUGGUGAUUAGAAUUUUGACCAUCUUGGUGAUGGAAGUUCGUUGAAGUUAAAGUGAUAUAACAUUCAGAUUGCGAUGUACAAUAAUCGGUUUAAGGUUCGAGAGUUUAAAUUCACCUUCAUUACCUUAAUAUCGAACAAUUUUUCUUGAAGAUGGUGGAUAUCGGCAUAAUGUGCGAGAGUUAACUUUAUCUUCGUCAUCUUAAGAUCAAAAGAUUUUGCUUGAAAAUGGUGGACAUCAGCUUAAGGUGUGAGAGUUUAACUUUGCAUUCGUCACCUUAAGACCGAAAGAUUUUACUUGAAGAAGGUGGAUAUCGGCUUAAGGUGUGAGAGUUUAACUUCGCCUCGUUACCUUAAGACAGAAAGAUUUUGCUUGAAGACGGUGGACAUCGGCUUAAGGUGCGGGAGUUUAACUUUACCUUCGUCACCUUUAAAACUGAAAGAUUUUGCUUGAAGAUGGUAGACAUCGGCUUAAGGUACGAGAGUUUAAUUUCGCCUCCACCACUUUAAGACUAAAAGAUUUUGCUUGAAGAUACAAUGGUCUUCUUUAACUAUGGACCCUUUU
rnacentral:lncRNA from 1 species